rfam:Candidate division WOR-1 bacterium RIFCSPHIGHO2_01_FTLL_53_15 rifcsphigho2_01_scaffold_757, whole genome shotgun sequence.
GGGCGGUUAGCUCAGUUGGUAGAGCAUGCGACUGAUAAUCGCAAGGUGGCUGGUUCGAUCCCAGCACCGCCCA